rnacentral:rRNA from 1 species
UACGUAGGGGGCGAGCGUUGUCCGGAUUUAUUGGGCGUAAAGAGCUCGUAGGCGGCCUGUCGCGUCGGAUGUGAAAACCCAGGGCUCAACUCUGGGCCUGCAUUCGAUACGGGCAGACUAGAGGUAUGCAGGGGAGAACGGAAUUCCUGGUGUAGCGGUGAAAUGCGCAGAUAUCAGGAGGAACACCGGUGGCGAAGGCGGUGGGCUGGGCCGGAACUGACGCUGAGGAGCGAAAGCGUGGGGAGCGAACAGG